GGAUGGGUAGGGGAGCGUCGUGUGCCGGGUGAAGCCGCGCCGGAAGGCAGUGGUGGACGGUUCACGAGUGAGAAUGCAGGCAUGAGUAGCGAUACACACGUGAGAAACGUGUGCGCCGAUUGACUAAGGGUUCCUGGGUCAAGCUGAUCUGCCCAGGGUAAGUCGGGACCUAAGGCGAGGCCGACAGGCGUAGUCGAUGGAUAACCGGUUGAUAUUCCGGUACCCGCUGUGAAGCGUCAAACAUCGAGCCCAUUAAUGCUAAGGCCGUGAAGCCGCCCUGGAGCCUUCGGGCAAAGGGGAGUGGUGGAGCCGCUGACCCAAGGUGGUAGUAGGUGAGUGAUGGGGUGACGCAGGAAGGUAGUCCAUCCCGGGCGGUGGUUGUCCCGGGGUAAGGGUGUAGGCCGUGCGAUAGGUAAAUCCGUCGCGCAUUAAGGCUGAGACCUGAUGCCGAGCCGAUUGUGGUGAAGUGGAUGAUCCUAUGCUGUCGAGAAAAGCCUCUAGCGAGUUUCAUGGCGGCCCGUACCCUAAACCGACUCAGGUGGUCAGGUAGAGAAUACCGAGGCGUUCGGGUGAACUAUGGUUAAGGAACUCGGCAAAAUGCCCCCGUAACUUCGGGAGAAGGGGGGCCAUCACUGGUGAUCCAAUUUACUUGGUGAGCUGGGGGUGGCCGCAGAGACCAGCGAGAAGCGACUGUUUACUAAAAACACAGGUCCGUGCGAAGCCGUAAGGCGAUGUAUACGGACUGACGCCUGCCCGGUGCUGGAACGUUAAGGGGACCGGUUAGUCAAACUUCGGUUUGGCGAAGCUGAGAACUUAAGCGCCAGUAAACGGCGGUGGUAACUAUAACCAUCCUAAGGUAGCGAAAUUCCUUGUCGGGUAAGUUCCGACCUGCACGAAUGGCGUAACGACUUCUCGACUGUCUCAACCAUAGGCCCGGUGAAAUUGCACUACGAGUAAAGAUGCUCGUUUCGCGCAGCAGGACGGAAAGACCCCGGGACCUUUACUACAGUUUGAUAUUGGUGUUCGGUUCGGCUUGUGUAGGAUAGCUGGGAGACUUUGAAGCCCGCACGCCAGUGUGGGUGGAGUCGUCGUUGAAAUACCAGUCUGGUCGUGCUGGAUGUCUAACCUGGGUCCGUGAUCCGGAUCAGGGACAGUGUCUGAUGGGUAGUUUAACUGGGGCGGUUGCCUCCUAAAGAGUAACGGAGGCGCCCAAAGGUUCCCUCAGCCUGGUUGGCAAUCAGGUGUUGAGUGUAAGUGCACAAGGGAGCUUGACUGUGAGACCGACGGGUCGAGCAGGGACGAAAGUCGGGACUAGUGAUCCGGCGGUGGCUUGUGGAAGCGCCGUCGCUCAACGGAUAAAAGGUACCCCGGGGAUAACAGGCUGAUCUUCCCCAAGAGUCCAUAUCGACGGGAUGGUUUGGCACCUCGAUGUCGGCUCGUCGCAUCCUGGGGCUGGAGUCGGUCCCAAGGGUUGGGCUGUUCGCCCAUUAAAGCGGUACGCGAGCUGGGUUUAGAACGUCGUGAGACAGUUCGGUCCCUAUCCGCUGCGCGCGCAGGAAUAUUGAGAAGGGCUGUCCCUAGUACGAGAGGACCGGGACGGACGAACCUCUGGUGUGCCAGUUGUCCUGCCAAGGGCAUGGCUGGUUGGCUACGUUCGGGAGGGAUAACCGCUGAAAGCAUCUAAGCGGGAAGCCUGCUUCGAGAUGAGUAUUCCCACCUCCUUGAGAGGGUAAGGCUCCCAGUAGACGACUGGGUUGAUAGGCCAGAUCUGGAAGGCGGGUAACCGCUGGAGGUGACUGGUACUAAUAGGCCGAGGGCUUGUCCUCAGUUG
rnacentral:rRNA from 1 species